AAGUCGUAACAAGGUUUCCGUAGGUGAACCUGCGGAAGGAUCAUUAUUGAAAUUAGUUGACUCUACUCUCCCGGGUGACCGACCCGUCUGGACUGGCCUUGCACUUCAUAUGCCGGGUGUCGUGUGAACGGCUCACUAUUCUUUUUGUUAUGUUUGUGUGAGUGCGGAUGUACACGCCACUGUCCAGCGGACAAAUAGACACCCGGAUUGUAGCAACUUUAUUCAACCACUUGUGAAUUUGUAAUUUAUAUCUUACCAACUGACUGUUAACGAAGACUGAUUCAAUAACUUGUUGGUGUUUAAAGACACUAAUACAAUCAUUGAAACAACUUUUGGCAACGGAUCUCUUGGCUCUC
rnacentral:misc_RNA from 2 species